AGACACUUUAGUGCCGCAUUGCGUUCUAUGAAGUUCGCUUGUCUUUGCACAAUGAAUAUUCAUUUAAUAGGUGCUUUAAUUUUAAGUCUCUGCUGCUUAAAAGCGGACGCAGACACAAUAGUCAAAGUUUGCCCUUUGGAGAGCUCUUGCCUUAAUGUGACUGAAAAAAGUGCAGUCUGUGCGUACGAUGAGAAAAAAAAGCUGUAUUCGGAAAUACGCUUCAAUAUGCCACUUGAAAAUUUUCAGUUGUCUUCAGAAUAUAGAGAUCGACGACUAUAGUGAAAUCUAUUGCACGAUGGAGACAUAUUUAUGCGAGGAAUCUCCCGAAUACGAACGUUGGACAAUUUUCUUUGGCCACGAGAAAGAUCGAUAACACCUAUGACGUUGGAUGGUGAAAUAGGUGUGAGAGCAAUUAUAAUAUAAUACGAUGAUAAAACACCCCCCAAAAUCCAAAAAGUAUUAAAUAAAGCGCUGCAGACGGCGAUCAAUUA